AUAGUUAUUUUCUGCUUGUUUUUUCCCUUCUGGUUUAGCUACCCUACUCCUGCUCCUGUCCUUCUUCUCCCUCCUAAUAUAAUACAAAUAGAAGAAAAAAGUCAGAACCGCUGCAUAAUAAUAAUAACAAUAAGUUGCGCGAGUUUAAAG
rnacentral:ribozyme from 1 species